AUUAGUUAGUUGGUAGGGUAAAGGCCUACCAAGACGAUGAUGUGAAGCUGGACUGAGAGGUUGAACAGCCACAUUGGGACUGAGACACGGCCCAAACUCCUACGGGAGGCAGCAGUAGGGAAUUUUCGGCAAUGGAGGAAACUCUGACCGAGCAAUGCCGGCGUGAACGACGAAGUACUUUGGUAUGUAAAGUUCUUUUAUCAAGGAAGAAAAGCAAGUGGAAAAACUAUUGUUUGCCGGUACCUGAUGAAUAAGCCCCGGCUAAUUAUGUGCCAGCAGCCGCGGUAAGACAUAAGGGGCAAGUGUUAUCCGGAAUUAUUGGGCGUAAAGGGUGCGUAGGCGGUCUAGUAAGUUAGUGGUCUAAACUCAAUGCUCAACGUUGUCCGGCUAUUGAAACUGCUAAGCUAGAGUUAGAUAGAGGCGAGUGGAAUUCCAUGUGUAGCGGUAAAAUGCGUAAAUAUAUGGAGGAACACCAGAGGCGUAGGCGGCUCGCUGGGUCUUAACUGACGCUGAGGCACGAAAGCGUGGGGAGCAAACAGGAUUAGAUACCCUGGUAGUCCACGCCGUAAACGAUGAGUACUAAGUGUCGGGUUAAACCGGUACUGAAGUUAACACAUUAAGUACUCCGCCUGAGUAGUACGUACGCAAGUAUGAAACUUAAAGGAAUUGACGGGACUCGCACAAGCGGUGGAUCAUGUUGUUUAAUUCGAAGAUACCCGAAAAACCUUACCAGGUCUUGACAUGUUUUUGCGAAACGGUAGUAAUAUCGUGGAGGUUAUCAGAAACACAGGUGGUGCAUGGUUGUCGUCAGCUCGUGUCGUGAGAUGUUAGGUUAAGUCCUAAAACGAGGCGCAACCCUUAUCGUUAGUUGCCAGCACGUUAUGGUGGGGACUUUAACGAGACUGCCAGUGAUAAAUUGGUGGAAGGUGAGGAUCACGUCAAAUCAGCAUGCCCCUUAUGACCUGGGCUACAAACGUGAUACAAUGGCUGUUACAAAGGGUAGCUGAAACGCAAGUUCUUGGCCAAUCCCCAAAAAGCAGUCUCAGUCCGGAUUGAAGUCUGCAACUCGACUUCAUGAAGUUGGAAUCGCUAGUAAUCGCGAAUCAGCAU
rnacentral:rRNA from 1 species